rnacentral:rRNA from 1 species
CCUACGGGUGGCAGCAGUGGGGGAUAUUGCACAAUGGGGGGAACCCUGAUGCAGCGACGCCGCGUGGGUGAAGAAGCGCCUCGGCGCGUAAAGCCCUGUCAGCAGGGAAGAAAAUGACGGUACCUGAAGAAGAAGCCCCGGCUAACCACGUGCCAGCAGCCGCGGUAAUACGUAGGGGGCAAGCGUUAUCCGGAUUUACUGGGUGUAAAGGGGGCGCAGACGGCGAUGCAAGCCAGGAGUGGAAGGCCCGGGCCGAACCCCGGGGAUGCCCUUGGAACUGGGGUGCUGGAGGGGAGGGGGGGGAGGGGGGAAUGCUGGUGUAGCGGUGAAAUGCGUAGAUAUCAGGAGGAACACCGGUGGCGAAGGCGGCCUGCUGGACUGCAACUGACGUUGAGGCCCGAAAGCGUGGGGAGCAAACAGGAUUAGAUACCCUGGUAGUC